GACGAACGCUGGCGGCGUGCUUAACACAUGCCAGUCGAACGGAAAGGCCUCUUUCGGGGGGUACUCGAGUGGCGAACGGGUGAGUAACACGUGAGUAACCUGCCCUUGACUUUGGGAUAACUUCAGGAAACUGGGGCUAAUACCGGAUAGGAGCUCCUGCUGCAUGGUGGGGGUUGGAAAGUUUCGGCGGUUGGGGAUGGACUCGCGGCUUAUCAGCUUGUUGGUGGGGUAGUGGCUUACCAAGGCUUUGACGGGUAGCCGGCCUGAGAGGGUGACCGGCCACAUUGGGACUGAGAUACGGCCCAGACUCCUACGGGAGGCAGCAGUGGGGAAUAUUGCACAAUGGGUGGGAGCCUGAUGCAGCAACGCCGUGUGCGGGAUGACGGCCUUCGGGUUGUAAACCGCUUUCGCUCAUGACGAAGCUUUGUGUGACGGUAGUGGGUAAAGAAGCACCGGCUAACUACGUG
rnacentral:rRNA from 1 species